GAGUUUGAUCCUGGCUCAGAGUGAACGCUGGCGGCGUGCCUAAUACAUGCAAGUCGAACGAUGAAGCUUCUAGCUUGCUAGAAUGCUAAUUAGUGGCGCACGGGUGAGUAACGCAUAGGUCAUGUGCCUCUAGUUUGGGAUAGCCAUUGGAAACGAUGAUUAAUACCAGAUACUCCCUACGGGGGAAAGAUUUAUCGCUAAGAGAUCAGCCUAUGUCCUAUCAGCUUGUUGGUAAGGUAAUGGCUUACCAAGGCUAUGACGGGUAUCCGGCCUGAGAGGGUGAACGGACACACUGGAACUGAGACACGGUCCAGACUCCUACGGGAGGCAGCAGUAGGGAAUAUUGCUCAAUGGGGGAAACCCUGAAGCAGCAACGCCGCGUGGAGGAUGAAGGUUUUAGGAUUGUAAACUCCUUUUGUUAGAGAAGAUAAUGACGGUAUCUAACGAAUAAGCACCGGCUAACUCCGUGCCAGCAGCCGCGGUAAUACGGAGGGUGCAAGCGUUACUCGGAAUCACUGGGCGUAAAGAGCGCGUAGGCGGGAUAGUCAGUCAGGUGUGAAAUCCUAUGGCUUAACCAUAGAACUGCAUUUGAAACUACUAUUCUAGAGUGUGGGAGAGGUAGGUGGAAUUCUUGGUGUAGGGGUAAAAUCCGUAGAGAUCAAGAGGAAUACUCAUUGCGAAGGCGACCUGCUGGAACAUUACUGACGCUGAUUGCGCGAAAGCGUGGGAGCAAACAGGAUUACGAUACCCUGGUAGUCCACGCCCUAAACGAUGGAUGCUAGUUGUUGGUAGGGCUUAGUCUCUCCAGUAAUGCAGCUAACGCAUUAAGCAUCCCGCCUGGGGAGUACGGUCGCAAGAUUAAAACUCAAAGGAAUAGACGGGGACCCGCACAAGCGGUGGAGCAUGUGGUUUAAUUCGAAGAUACACGAAGAACCUUACCUAGGCUUGACAUUGAGAGAAUCCGCUAGAAAUAGUGGAGUGUCUAGCUUGCUAGACCUUGAAAACAGGUGCUGCACGGCUGUCGUCAGCUCGUGUCGUGAGAUGUUGGGUUAAGUCCCGCAACGAGCGCAACCCCCUUUCUUAGUUGCUAACAGGUCAUGCUGAGAACUCUAAGGAUACUGCCUCCGUAAGGAGGAGGAAGGUGGGGACGACAUCAAGUCAUCAUGGCCCUUACGCCUAGGGCUACACACGUGCUACAAUGGGGUGCACAAAGAGAAGCAAUACUGCGAAGUGGAGCCAAUCUUCAAAACGCCUCUCAGUUCGGAUUGUAGGCUGCAACUCGCCUGCAUGAAGCUGGAAUCGCUAGUAAUCGCAAAUCAGCCAUGUUGCGGUGAAUACGUUCCCGGGUCUUGUACUCACCGCCCGUCACACCAUGGGAGUUGUGUUUGCCUUAAGUCAGGAUGCUAAACUAGCUACUGCCCACGGCACACACAGCGACUGGGGUGAAGUCGUAACAAGGUAACCGUAGGUGAACCUGCGGUUGGAUCACC
rnacentral:rRNA from 1 species